UACAGAGGGUGCGAGCGUUAAUCGGAAUUACUGGGCGUAAAGGGCGCGUAGGUGGUUAUAUAAGUUAGAUGUGAAAAUCUUGGGCUCAACCUGAGACUUGCAUUUAAAACUGCAUAGCUAGAGAGCAGUAGAGGGAAGUGGAAUUUCCGGUGUAGCGGUGAAAUGCGUAGAUAUCGGAAGGAACAUCAGUGGCGAAGGCGGCUUCCUGGACUGCAACUGACACUGAAGCGCGAAAGCGUGGGGAGCGAACAGG
rnacentral:rRNA from 1 species